rnacentral:lncRNA from 1 species
UUGGAGAGUCCAAACAUUCCAUGGAAGCCCAAAGGUAAAACAGUGGCCCCUUCCUCAAAUCGCUCACAUAACAGUACCCUCCCCCAAAUAUAAGAUGAGGCAAAUUUGGAGUCAAUGAUGGCAGACUUUCAAUUUGGAUUCCGAGUCGAAAAUCAGCGAUCAGCAACGUUAUUGAUUGGAAGCAAUUAAAGGCUUCAACGACAAGACACUUCUGCUCCCGAGAAAAUUCACGGACAGUUCAUGACUUUGCAGGUCCUUUUUCUAUUAAAAUUAUCCUAACUUUUUUUUACUCAAUUUUAUGAUAUUUAUUUAUGUAACAAUUUGAGAGGAUAUCACAAAUGCUCUAAAUAUUAAAAUUCGAACUUGUGAAAUAUAUACAGAUAAAUCAUAGUUGAUUGAAGUGUGGGUCAAUCUUUUGAAGUUAAGUUGGAAAUAAUAUCAUAUUAUUCCAAAAGAGAGGUCAUUUUGUAGUUGGAAUGAUUUGCUGUUGUAAUUGAAUUUUUCAUAGUUUUUCCCCUUUAAUUUAUGCUUUUUGGUUAUCUCCUUAAUUGUGGGGCAUUUUCAGUUUAACAUAGGUGGUCUCAUAUUUACUUGGAUAUGUCACGACCCGGAUUUUCCACUCUCGGGAGUCGUGAUGGCGCCUACUAAUGGGAGCUAGGCAAGUCAAACCUUAACUACUUGCUGCAUUUUCAUUUUUGCUUCUUUAACAAACAUGAGUCGAUAAUAUGAUAAAAGCGGAAUUUUAAAUAAAUAAGCGGAAGUCAACAAUUAUAUAUCUUAAAGGCUACGUCCAUUACAACUUUUAAAAAACCUCAAAUACCCCAAAACCUAGUGUCACAGUGUCAAAGACUGUUUAAGAGUUACUACAUACAAGGUCUGAAGAAAUACAAUACACUGUCUCUGAACAAAGGAAACGAAACAGGAAAUAGAGAUAGAGGGAG